UACGGAGGGUGCAAGCGUUAUCCGGAUUCACUGGGUUUAAAGGGUGCGUAGGUGGGCAGUUAAGUCAGUGGUGAAAUCUCCGGGCUCAACCCGGAAACUGCCAUUGAUACUAUCGGUCUUGAAUAUCGUGGAGGUAAGCGGAAUAUGUCAUGUAGCGGUGAAAUGCUUAGAUAUGACAUAGAACACCAAUUGCGAAGGCAGCUUACUACCCGAAUAUUGACACUGAGGCACGAAAGCGUGGGGAUCAAACAGG
rnacentral:rRNA from 1 species